GAGCGGGGUAAAGCCAGA
rnacentral:sRNA from 1 species